UACGGAGGGGGCUAGCGUUGUUCGGAAUUACUGGGCGUAAAGCGCGCGUAGGCGGCUCUGCAAGUCGGGUGUGAAAGCCCCGGGCUCAACCUGGGAAUUGCAUUCGAGACUGCUCUGCUAGGGUGCGGAAGAGGGAAGCGGAAUUUCCGGUGUAGCGGUGAAAUGCGUAGAUAUCGGAAGGAACACCAGUGGCGAAAGCGGCUUCCUGGUCCAGCACCGACGUUCAGGCACGAAAGCGUGGGGAGCAAACAGG
rnacentral:rRNA from 1 species